GACGAACGCUGGCGGCGUGCCUAACACAUGCAAGUCGAACGGGGUAAAGAGCUUCGGUUUUUUACUUAGUGGCGAACGGGUGAGUAACGCGUGAGAAACCUGCCUUUCAGUGGGGGACAACAGCUGGAAACGACUGCUAAUACCGCAUAAUGUUAUCGAGCGGCAUCGCUUGAUAACCAAAGCUUUAUGUGCUGAAAGAUGGUCUCGCGUCUGAUUAGCUAGAUGGCGGGGUAACGGCCCACCAUGGCGACGAUCAGCAGCCGGUCUGAGAGGAUGAACGGCCACAUUGGGACUGAGAUACGGCCCAGACUCCUACGGGAGGCAGCAGUGGGGAAUAUUGGGCAAUGGGGGAAACCCUGACCCAGCAACGCCGCGUGAAGGAAGAAGGCCUUCGGGUUGUAAACUUCUUUUAGCAGGGACGAAGAACGUGACGGUACCUGCAGAAAAAGCAACGGCUAACUACGUGCCAGCCGCCGCCGUAAAAC
rnacentral:rRNA from 1 species